rnacentral:tRNA from 1 species
CAUAAGAUGGCUGAAAGUAAGUACUGGUCUCUUAAACCAUUUUAUAGUAUAAUAACAAAUACUUCUUAUGA